ensembl:lncRNA
GUGGCAGUGAGCUGGCACCUUCUGAUAUUGAGAUUCUCACUCUUAAGCCAUUUAAUUAAGAUAUUUUCCUGAGCUGCCAUGACUUCUGGUUGCCUGCUGUGAGAAACUGGUACCAGCCAGCUCACUUAAGCUGAUGAAAAAGUCUGAGUUAGAGAAAUACAUGGAUUAUGUCACUGUCUAACUGCUGUCCUGUGUAAGGUGUAAGGACAAAUUGGAUUAAGGUAAUGUAUGUAAAAUACAAGACAAAUGUUAUUUCAAAUACAGGCUGAUAUUUAUUGAGACAUUGCAGAGUCACCAUUAGAUUUAAUUCAAUAUAAAGGACUUUAUAGAAGCAGCAGCAGCGGCAACUUUUGCAGUGCUGCUACUGUUGCUGUGGGGAUUUUGUCAAUGUUAUGAAACUUUUAGGAAAUUUCCAGAACUUUUGCCAAGGAAAAGAAAAUACUGGAGCUCUCAACUUAUGGUGUUGAAAAGAUGAAAACAAAUAGGAAUUGGCAACUUUUUUACAAAGCAAUCUUGUACUUCAGCUGAAAAGAGUGCUAAUAUAUUUCAGUGUGUGCUAAGCAUGCUAUAUAAAAGUAAUGUUAACUUGUAAUCUAUUAUAUGUUAGGUAUUAUGGAGAGCAAAUUGAAAUGACUUCCUUUUAAACAUCAGAUCAGAUAAAGAGAAUAUUUCAGAUGUAUCCAUUUGACAUGCUGUGAAAACAAAACCUAUGGGGGCUGUUUUAAUGUUUUUUCAG